AACGCGAAGAACCUUACCUGGUCUUGACAUCCACGGAAGUUUUCAGAGAUGAGAAUGUGCCUUCGGGAACCGUGAGACAGGUGCUGCAUGGCUGUCGUCAGCUCGUGUUGUGAAAUGUUGGGUUAAGUCCCGCAACGAGCGCAACCCUUAUCCUUUGUUGCCAGCGGUCCGGCCGGGAACCCAAAGGAGACUGCCAGUGAUAAACUGGAGGAAGGUGGGGAUGACGUCAAGUCAUCAUGGCCCUUACGACCAGGGCUACACACGUGCUACAAUGGCGCAUACAAAGAGAAGCGACCUCGCGAGAGCAAGCGGACCUCAUAAAGUGCGUCGUAGUCCGGAUUGGAGUCUGCAACUCGACUCCAUGAAGUCGGAAUCGCUAGUAAUCGUGGAUCAGUAUGCCACGGUGAAUACGUUCCCGGGCCUUGUACACACCG
rnacentral:rRNA from 1 species